rnacentral:rRNA from 1 species
GAGACAGCAGUCGCCACGGUAAUACGGAGGGUGCAAGCGUUAAUCGGAAUUACUGGGCGUAAAGCGCACGCAGGCGGUCUGACAAGUCAGAUGUGAAAUCCCCGGGCUUAACCUGGGAACUGCAUUUGAAACUGUCAGGCUGGAGUCUUGUAGAGGGGGGUGGAAUUCCAGGUGUAGCGGUGAAAUGCGUAGAGAUCUGGAGGAAUACCGGUGGCGAAGGCGGCCCCCUGGACAAAGACUGACGCUCAGGUGCGAAAGCGUGGGGAGCAAACAGGAUUAGAUACCCCAGUAGUCCCUGUCUCUUAUAC